GACAACAGUCGUUAAACUGUGAAGUUGGUCUGUAACGCAAUAACCCCUGUCAAUUCUUUCCUGUUCAUAUAUAAGGUAGUCUGCAUGGCCAACACACCGGUAAGGACAGCCCUAGGGAAUAGCUGUACAUUGUAGUCACCGAUAAGCCGUGUUCGGAGGUAAAGGGAAAGAACUUCGAGUGACCAUGUCCGCGCGACCUCUGUCUAGCGUCAGCACACGGACCACGGCCAGUGCCUCAUCUGCAUCACUCCCUGCUCAUCAGUCGUGGGCCCCAUUCAGUGGGCCUGUCAUGUUUACAGGGCCCAGUGGGUUGAGAGAUCAGCGGGUCAACGUUCACGAUAAAUUCCAAUCAGUGGGCAUCGGCGCGCGAUCGAUGGAGACGACCAACAAUAUAUCCUAUCUGAACCGAAGCCCGCCGGCAAGCAAUUUUCCCCGAGCUAAGCACGGACAGAUAGGCGAGAUUGGCUGGGAAUUUGAGACGUUCGGCCUUGUGAAGGGGAUCUAAGAACUGGGACACACCCAUCUGACAUGACCCCCCUCCCGUGGAUGUCUCGAGGGUCACUGUUUGCCUUUGAUCUUUUUCAGAACAAUGGUUUAUAUAAUUCCGACAUGACAUUACUAACAGCUGUGUUUAAUUAAGAUAAAGAUCAAGAUAUAUACUUUAAAGUAAUCAAGAUAGCCGUCAAGAAAGCAUACAUAUGUGCAAUUGUUUACAAUACAUGUCAAUUUGGGAUCAGCAUUAACAGGGUAUUUUGUUAACUAUAGUCAAUAAAAAUUUACAUAAAAUAGGUAAAUUAUCUGACGAUAACAUGAUCACAAAACGUUUCCUGUCGCAUGCGUGCGUAUGAUUAUACUGUGUUUAAUCAGAGACCACAUAUACUCAAACACAAAAGAAACUGGAAUGUUCUCAUUUAUCAUAAUGAGACAAACCUAAAACUCCUCUCUACUAAGUCUUAAAAAAUGAAUAAAUACAUCUAGUACUUGUGUUUCAUUUGGCUGACGAUAGGGUUUCCAAUGAUUUUAUUUAUUUCAAAAUUAAUAAAUAGACAAAUUCAAAAUUUCAAAUUAGAAUUCCGCCUUGCAUGGGUAAAUAUUUCGUUACUUACAUUCGCCGUUAGGGAAGAAAUCUUAGGCGUGGUUUUCACUUUGGUUCCAAGUAUAUUCAAAUGAUCACUGUCAUUUGCUAGUGGUUGAGCAUAUAUCGUGUAUGGUGUCAUGUUUAAUUUAAGGAACUUUUUAUUUGCUAAUGCAAGGAAAGCUAGUGUAUAGGCACCCGAAAUGACUGUGUUUUUAACAUAAAUGAAUUCAAGGGUUUUUAAUAGAAUCCCCUUUCUUUCACGAAUUAGGAUACGGUUAUGGCGCUUUUGUCUUUAUCUAACCGCGUGACGUUAACAACGUAAUAAUUCACCGUGUGAACUGACGGUAGACGUAUUAAGUGGUGGCUCAGGUACGCUGAGUUGCGUCCCUUUGUUGUGCCAGGAUACGAUGAUCGUGGGCUCAAAUCAUAGACUCUCCCUGAUUAUGAUGCUUGGAAUUGGAAUCGAAAUCCGUGGGUUUCCGAAACAGUUGUUCUAAGAACCAAUUUCUGCCAUAAUAUAUAUGAAUACCGUUUCAGUAUUAUGUAAAACAUGUCUCAUAUAAUACAUAUUGUAUAUCUGUGAUAUCAACCGAGAUACAGAUUAUUUAUGAUAAUAACUAUAACUGAGAUAUUGUUUGUCUGUGAUAAUAACCGAUAUAUUGUUUAUCGGUAAUUAUAGCCAAGAUAUGUUUAUCCGUGCUAAUACAAAUGCCGACAUACAGUUUUUCUGUGAAUACAGCCGAGAUGAUCGAGGCCAUACUGCGGUUCAUAAUUAUGAUAUUGAUGAAUAAUGUUGAGUAAUGUAGCUUGUGUGAUGUAAGUAUUGACAUGGUGUUUUCGUUUUCUGUUACAAUAAAGAUUAAA